rnacentral:rRNA from 1 species
UACCAGCACCCCGAGUGGUCGGGACGUUUUAUUGGGCCUAAAGGCAUCCGUAGCCGGUUCUACAAGUCUUCCGUUAAAUCCACCUGCUUAACAGAUGGGCUGCGGAAGAUACUAUAGAGCUAGGAGGCGGGAGAGGCAAGCGGUACUCGAUGGGUAGGGGUAAAAUCCGUUGAUCCAUUGAAGACCACCAGUGGCGAAGGCGGCUUGCCAGAACGCGCUCGACGGUGAGGGAUGAAAGCUGGGGGAGCAAACCGG